AAACCAACAGGGAUUGCCUCAGUAACGGCGAGUGAAGCGGCAAAAGUCCACCUUUGAAAUAUUGACGUGGUUGGGAGAGGCAAUGUGCACAAGUCGCCUGGAACGGCCGCCAAAGAGGGUGAUAGCCCCGUAGCACACGCCAAAUCUUCCCAGCCGACAGAGUCGAGUUGUUUGGAAUGCAGCUCUAAAGGUGGUAGGGUCCAUCAAAGACUAAAUAUCAGCGAGAGACCGAUAGCAAACAAGUACAGUGAUGGAAAGAUGAAAAGAACUUUGAAAAGAGAGUGAAACAGUGCGUGAAAUUGGGGGGAGGGAAGGCAAGGCCACGACAAGUGGUCCUGCGC
rnacentral:rRNA from 1 species